rnacentral:rRNA from 1 species
CAGUCGAACGAUGAACCGCUUUCGGGCGGGGAUUAGUGGCGAACGGGUGAGUAACACGUGGGCAAUCUGCCCUGCACUCUGGGACAAGCCCUGGAAACGGGGUCUAAUACCGGAUAUGACUGUCCAUCGCAUGGUGGAUGGUGUAAAGCUCCGGCGGUGCAGGAUGAGCCCGCGGCCUAUCAGCUUGUUGGUGAGGUAGUGGCUCACCAAGGCGACGACGGGUAGCCGGCCUGAGAGGGCGACCGGCCACACUGGGACUGAGACACGGCCCAGACUCCUACGGGAGGCAGCAGUGGGGAAUAUUGCACAAUGGGCGAAAGCCUGAUGCAGCGACGCCGCGUGAGGGAUGACGGCCUUCGGGUUGUAAACCUCUUUCAGCAGGGAAGAAGCGAAAGUGACGGUACCUGCAGAAGAAGCGCCGGCUAACUACGUGCCAGCAGCCGCGGUAAUACGUAGGGCGCAAGCGUUGUCCGGAAUUAUUGGGCGUAAAGAGCUCGUAGGCGGCUUGUCACGUCGGUUGUGAAAGCCCGGGGCUUAACCCCGGGUCUGCAGUCGAUACGGGCAGGCUAGAGUUCGGUAGGGGAGAUCGGAAUUCCUGGUGUAGCGGUGAAAUGCGCAGAUAUCAGGAGGAACACCGGUGGCGAAGGCGGAUCUCUGGGCCGAUACUGACGCUGAGGAGCGAAAGCGUGGGGAGCGAACAGGAUUAGAUACCCUGGUAGUCCACGCCGUAAACGGUGGGCACUAGGUGUGGGCAACAUUCCACGUUGUCCCGUGCCGCAUCUAACGCAUUAAGUGCCCCG